rnacentral:rRNA from 1 species
UACGUAAGGGGCAAGCGUUGUCCGGAUUUAUUGGGCGUAAAGAGCGUGUAGGCGGCUAGGUAGGUCCGUUGUGAAAACUCGAGGCUCAACCUCGAGACGUCGAUGGAAACCAUCUAGCUAGAGUCCGGAAGAGGAGAGUGGAAUUCCUGGUGUAGCGGUGAAAUGCGUAGAUAUCAGGAGGAACACCGAUGGCGAAGGCAGGUCUCUGGGCCAUAACUGACGCUGAGAAGCGAAAGCAUGGGGAGCGAACAGG